CAUAUUAUACUAGUUCACAUCAUCAUCAUCAUAGUACAUAAAGCAUAAAUGACACGUGCAAAGGCCACUGGGUGCAUGUCGUCAUACAUAAGGCAAGUCUUUCGACCGAGCCGAUAGUAAGAUCACUAACCCAAUUAACUUAAGCUGGUGUCACCAAUUUAUCAUUGAAAGUUCCAUUUUGUCAUUUGAAAUUCAAGUCAACCUUUGUGAGCCCAUAACAUCAAUUUCAAGUUCAAACUUUUGCAAAACUAUAUUAGCUAAGUUUUACGAUGGUUCAGGUGUUAGACUUCAUGUGGACAUUAGACACUUUUCAUGAUUAGAGUCUUGAAAUGUUUAUAUAUGUUUAUACAUACAUUUGUGUUUAAGGGAUAUAAAUGUGCCUAACAAUUUAAUACUUGUCUGAUCUUCCCUCUCA